GGCGGCAUGCCUAACACAUGCAAGUCGAACGAGACCUUCGGGUCUAGUGGCGCACGGGUGCGUAACGCGUGGGAAUCUGCCCUUAGGUUCGGAAUAACAGUUAGAAAUGACUGCUAAUACCGGAUAAUGUCUUCGGACCAAAGAUUUAUUGCCUAAGGAUGAGCCCGCGUAAGAUUAGCUUGUUGGUGAGGUAAAGGCUCACCAAGGCGACGAUCUUUAGCUGGUCUGAGAGGAUGAUCAGCCACACUGGGACUGAGACACGGCCCAGACUCCUACGGGAGGCAGCAGUGGGGAAUAUUGGACAAUGGGCGAAAGCCUGAUCCAGCAAUGCCGCGUGAGUGAUGAAGGCCUUAGGGUUGUAAAGCUCUUUUACCCGGGAUGAUAAUGACAGUACCGGGAGAAUAAGCCCCGGCUAACUCCGUGCCAGCAGCCGCGGUAAUACGGAGGGGGCUAGCGUUGUUCGGAAUUACUGGGCGUNAAGCGUACGUAGGCGGCUUUGUAAGUUAGA
rnacentral:rRNA from 1 species